rnacentral:rRNA from 1 species
UACGUAGGGGGCGAGCGUUGUCCGGAUUUAUUGGGCGUAAAGAGCUCGUAGGCGGUUCGAUAAGUCGGACGUGAAAUCUCCACGCUCAACGUGGAGGGGCCGUUCGAUACUGUCGUGACUCGAGUCCGGUAGGGGAGUGUGGAAUUCCCGGUGUAGCGGUGAAAUGCGCAGAGAUCGGGAGGAACACCCGUAGCGAAGGCGGCACUCUGGGCCGGUACUGACGCUGAGGAGCGAAAGCGUGGGGAGCAA